GAAGACGAAGAAGAGUUUGAAUUAGCAGAUUGGACAGGAAUUGAACCAAAAACAUUAGGAUAAGAAGGUGAAGAUGCAGAUGGUGCAAAAGCAGGUGAAUCUACAUCUUCAUAAGUUGUUCCAUUUUCUCCUCCUAUUGAAAUGUGAAGUUUCUGCAACUUCUCACAAUGCCCUUCUGCUCCACUUGUGAAGUAAAAUUCUCCAGGUCUUGUAAUGUUGAACAGAGAAUUGCCAUUGUUCAUAUACAAGAUUGGAUUUUUAAGGUUGCAACUAUUGUAGUUUUGUUUUGUCACUUGUAUUACUGAAUCUUCACUUGGUGGAUACAAAAACACUGCAAAAGAAAAAACCAGAAAAAUUUAAUUCGAGAAAUAGAUUAAUGAGGUUGAGUAUUUUUUAAAAGAGUGUCAAAAAAAUGCUAAAAUCUUGAAGAUCUGAGCAAGAAAUGGGGGCAUUGACCCAAGGUGUCACUUGAAUACUCUUGUGUAAAAUUAUAUUGUGCAUAUAGAAGAUUCAAAUAUAUUUUUUUUUUUAAAAAAAAUAUAUACUAAAUGUUUAAACACCCCUAGCAAAAUUUCUAGCUUCACGUGACGGACGGGGGAGGAAGGCUUACAGAGUGAAUCUCCAAGCUUGAAGAGGUGAUUCUUGGACCAUUUGACAUAGACAUCUCGAUUUGCAGAAGAAGGUAUAUUCCAAGCAUUUAAAUCUCCAACUUUGUACUGAUAACACAACACCAAUUGGCUUUGUAUUAAGAGAAACAACUGAAAUAAAAUGUACAAAGGUUGGUACUUUCUUGGAAUUCUAAGAGUAGCCAUGACUUGCCCUCUCUUAGCUUUUUUUCUUUUUGCCAAAUUUGAGUGGAAGAGUGACAAAUUAGAAGUGAGAAAUGGUGCCUAUUAACGAUAUUGGUUUGACACGGUAGACCAGACAGAGUAUAUUUACUGGAAUGCCCUUUAUUCUUUUCAUAAUACCAAUAUUUUGAGAUGUAUUUCUUUUAUCAUAUUAAUAUUCAAAAGAUUGCAACUUAUAGUAUUUUUUGUAUAUCAAAAUUUAAAAUUUAAAUUUUAAAAUAGUGAAUUUAUCUAGUUCAAUUUAACUUUGAAAAAUCAGUUAAAUUGACUCUUUUAGAACAAAAUGUGACAAGUAAACUUUAACGAGGGAGUAUUUCCUUCCUCUUCCUUUUAGAUAUUAUAUAUAUAUAUAAUAAAUCAAUUUUAAAACUAUUUGUUUUAUCUUUGAUAUGAUAACUUAUAUAAACACCCAAAGGCCAAGACUCAUUUUAAAUCUUAAGUUCUAAAAAUAUUUUUUUAUUUUUAAAAUUUUAUGUCAAUCAAAAAGUGUCGUAUAAAUCGAAACACGACAAAUUAAGAUGCUCACCGUCAAAGGGCAAAACCCCAAAAGAGUAUCUCAAGCAAAAGAAUAAAGUUUUAUAUUGUGUAGGGUCAACUGUUAUAUAUAAACAACAAUGGCACAUGGACAGUUGGACAAAUAAACACUGGAUGCAGCUUAACAUGGGAUUGGAAAGGACUAGAGCACCAAAUGGUUUCACAG
rnacentral:lncRNA from 1 species